rnacentral:rRNA from 1 species
UACGUAGGGCGCAAGCGUUGUCCGGAAUUAUUGGGCGUAAAGAGCUCGUAGGCGGCCUGUCGCGUCUGCCGUGAAAGCCCGUGGCUUAACUGCGGGUCUGCGGUGGAUACGGGCAGGCUAGAGGCUGGUAGGGGCAAGCGGAAUUCCUGGUGUAGCGGUGAAAUGCGCAGAUAUCAGGAGGAACACCGGUGGCGAAGGCGGCUUGCUGGGCCGGUUCUGACGCUGAGGAGCGAGAGCGUGGGGAGCGAACAGG